UACGUAGGGUGCAAGCGUUAAUCGGAAUUACUGGGCGUAAAGCGUGCGCAGGCGGUGAUGUAAGACAGGUGUGAAAUCCCCGGGCUUAACCUGGGAACUGCAUUUGUGACUGCAUCGCUGGAGUGCGGCAGAGGGGGAUGGAAUUCCGCGUGUAGCAGUGAAAUGCGUAGAGAUGUGGAGGAACACCGAUGGCGAAGGCAGCCCCCUGGGCCAAGACUGACGCUCAUGCACGAAAGCGUGGGGAGCAAACAGG
rnacentral:rRNA from 1 species